GACGAACGCUGGCGGCGUGCUUAACACAUGCAAGUCGAACGGAAAGGCCCUGCUUUUGUGGGGUGCUCGAGUGGCGAACGGGUGAGUAACACGUGAGUAACCUGCCCUUGACUUUGGGAUAACUUCAGGAAACUGGGGCUAAUACCGGAUAGGAGCUCCUGCUGCAUGGUGGGGGUUGGAAAGUUUCGGCGGUUGGGGAUGGACUCGCGGCUUAUCAGCUUGUUGGUGGGGUAGUGGCUUACCAAGGCUUUGACGGGUAGCCGGCCUGAGAGGGUGACCGGCCACAUUGGGACUGAGAUACGGCCCAGACUCCUACGGGAGGCAGCAGUGGGGAAUAUUGCACAAUGGGCGGAAGCCUGAUGCAGCAACGCCGCGUGCGGGAUGACGGCCUUCGGGUUGUAAACCGCUUUCGCCUGUGACGAAGCGUGAGUGACGGUAAUGGGUAAAGAAGCACCGGCUAACUACGUGCCAGCAGCCGCGGUGAUACGUAGGGUGCGAGCGUUGUCCGGAUUUAUUGGGCGUAAAGGGCUCGUAGGUGGUUGAUCGCGUCGGAAGUGUAAUCUUGGGGCUUAACCCUGAGCGUGCUUUCGAUACGGGUUGACUUGAGGAAGGUAGGGGAGAAUGGAAUUCCUGGUGGAGCGGUGGAAUGCGCAGAUAUCAGGAGGAACACCAGUGGCGAAGGCGGUUCUCUGGGCCUUUCCUGACGCUGAGGAGCGAAAGCGUGGGGAGCGAACAGGCUUAGAUACCCUGGUAGUCCACGCUGUAAACGGUGGGUACUAGGUGUGGGGUCCAUUCCACGGGUUCCGUGCCGUAGCUAGCGCUUUAAGUACCCCGCCUGGGGAGUACGGCCGCAAGGCUAAAACUCAAAGGAAUUGACGGGGCCCCGCACAAGCGGCGGAGCAUGCGGAUUAAUUCGAUGCAACGCGUAGAACCUUACCUGGGUUUGACAUGGAUCGGGAGUGCUCAGAGAUGGGUGUGCCUCUUUUGGGGUCGGUUCACAGGUGGUGCAUGGCUGUCGUCAGCUCGUGUCGUGAGAUGUUGGGUUAAGUCCCGCAACGAGCGCAACCCUUGUUCACUGUUGCCAGCACGUUAUGGUGGGGACUCAGUGGAGACCACCGGGGUCAACUCGGAGGAAGGUGGGGAUGACGUCAAGUCAUCAUGCCCCUUAUGUCCAGGGCUUCACGCAUGCUACAAUGGCUGGUACAGAGAGUGGCGAGCCUGUGAGGCUGAGCGAAUCUCGGAAAGCCGGUCUCAGUUCGGAUUGGGGUCUGCAACUCGACCUCAUGAAGUCGGAGUCGCUAGUAAUCGCAGAUCAGCAACGCUGCGGUGAAUACGUUCCCGGGGCU
rnacentral:rRNA from 1 species